GUGGGUAUAGCUCAGUGGGAGAGCAUAUGCUUAGAUGCACAGGGUCCUAGGUUCAAUCCCCAGUACUUCCA
rnacentral:tRNA from 1 species